rnacentral:lncRNA from 1 species
GUUGCUGCUCCUCAUAAGCAUUGUUGUUGUAGUGGUUAUUGGUGGUGGUGGUGGUGGUGGAGUCAGUUGGAUAAUUGGUGUAGGUUUCUUGGGUUUGGGUCUGGGUUUUGUAUGGCUGGUAAGUGGUUGUGGUGUAGGGUGCAUUUGUUAGUUUAGUAGUGGUGGGGAACUGGGAGGAUUCUUGACCAUAUAGACCAUAGCCAUUUUGGGUGUCUGGGAUAAAGGCUGGAUCUAGUUCUUGCUUGUUAAAGCUUUCUUCUUCUUUGUUGGGGAGUGUUUUAUCUUGAACAUUAUUGUUGUUGAUGGUGGUAGUGGAGGGAGUAGCGGUGGUGGCACCGACUUUGCUAAAGAACUGGCUCUCUCUAGCAUGAAUUUGCUUAGAAAAAAUGGUUAAGAGAAAGAGAAAGGAAAUGAGUCUUGGAGAGGGAGCCAUGGCUAAAGACGGGAUAGUGUUGCUGUGUAUCAC